GGCGAGGAACGGGAGGAUUCAAGAUUCACCAGCGAAAAGAGUCAAACUGGGCGAGGAGCUCACAGGGACCGUUUUACUCUCCAACAAGUCAAUAAGGGAGGUUUUUCCGAAGCAGAGAUGAAUGCAACUACAAAUUUACCGAGGAAUCACUGUAUUCGAUCCUGAUGCUCAAGGGCAGGAUUUCAAAGAAAAUGUUAUUUCAAACACUGUAGAGGCUAUCUUUAGGUCAACAGGAUGGAUGACCAAAGCCUUCCAAUACCAUGCCUGGCAGAUGGAAACCCAGAUGGUGAAUAUGGUGUUCCCAACAACAGUGUAGGAAAAACUUGCUGACAUCAAGAAAUCAUUACAGGAAGUCACAGAAUGCAUACAGUUCUCUGGACUGCAUUUCAUAAUGGAGGGGGCACCUUCUUUACAAAAAACAGUGAAAAAAAAUGAAAAUAAAACAGAGCAACAAGAAAAGCCAUGAUACUAGCAGUAAUAGCUGUGGAAGAAAUGUUGCGUAUUUUGCAGAUGCAACUGAUAGAGGUCACAUUUGAGGAAUUUCAUUGUAAAAUGGAACUAGUUGAAUAAAUAGGUUAUUACUACCAGCAGUUCUCCUAUUGCACUGCUCACAGUAUGUCAGAAGGAUACACUAUUUUAUAGUAAUAGGAAUAUUUUGGUAUGAAGUGAUUUUUCCCCCAUUUAUUUCAUCUACACGAUAUUGGUAUCACCAGCAAAUCCAGUACUUGGCAAAUCUCAACAUUAAAUACCCCUUCCGAGUGCUUAAUACGAUCACUAAAUGCCUAAAAAGUCAAAAUAUAUUCCACAUCCCAGCAUUACCACACCUUAGCAAGUAUUUAAAAAAACAUUCAAUCUCAACAUUCCUUAAAAAAAAUCCUGAAACAAUAUCUCAGAAUGUAUAUAACACUACUAACUGUUGGGUCUGACUGUGCAGAUUGCUCCAGUUUCACUUCUGAAAUAACACACCCAGCCAAUAUUAAUGUCCAGCCUUUGCACACCACAUAAUACGUUCCCAAUCUUUGACAUAAAACAGAAGCUGUCAUCGUGUCCCAUGACUUCUUGUUGAUACUUUUAGUCAAUGAAUUAAAAUGAGGAAAACUAUAACAAUUUUAAAUGGAAACUAUAUUGGUGUGCAGAAUGUAGAGCUGUUCUUAUGAGCACACUUGUGAAACCUUUUUCUUCUAAAUUCAUUAUAUUCUCAAUUGAAAGAUAGUGGGAGAAUCAACAACAAUGAACAAUCAAAUAAUAAGUCAGAAAAAAAUAUAUUUUACUGAAUUACACUAUAACCAUAAAUUCUUUUAAAAUGAUCUACCUUUGCACUUAUUUAUAAUAAUCGUUCUUUUUUUUAAACUUUCCGACUAGUGAUUGGAGCUAGUUUGGAAGCACACCUCUGAGGUAAAAACUCUUCCUUUGUGAAAGAGAACAAUCGAUUGUGGGCUGCACUCCCUACUGUGGCAUCAUGAAUAAGGACAGAACACCCCUUUCACGAUGUCAGAGCAAAGGAAGCUCCACACAAAAUCCCUGCUUGUAAACUGCCUUCAACCAACAUAAAACAGGAUGGAGAUACACAAAUAUAUGUAAGUGAUUAUGUGGUAAAUCAGUAGAAUAUUCGGCUCCAUUAAUUGUGGGGAAUAAAAGCUAUGAAUCAACACCGAGGAAAACCUCUUUACCCAGGCUGUAACUCCUGAGAGAAUCAGAAGAAUGGCUUGCAAAUGUAAGAACACAUAACUAUAUUGCAAUAUCAUAGGUUUCUUCAGGAAGAACAGUAAUAAAGCCAUCCAUCUGGCAGAAUACCUCUUAAUUUGGAUACAGCAGGACUAAUUUCGAUAGCUUUAGCUUAGGCAUGGUUUGUGACACUGAAGAGUAAAGUCAACGUUAAAUCUGACCUCCAGAGAAGCAACAAUGAAAUGAUGUGAUGCACAGAAAAGAAGCCAUGGCACCUGCACUAAUGGCUGUGGAAGAAAUAUUAUUUAUUUUGAAGAGGCAACUGUUGCACAUUUGAAGAAUUUCAUUGUAAAAUGGAUCUGGUUGAAUAAAUAGGUUAUUACUACCAACAGUUCUCCUGUUGGACAGCUCACAGUAGGUCAGAGGGAUAUACUGUUUUAUAGUAACACAAAUUUUUGUUAUGAAGUGAAUGCUUUUCUCAUUUUAUAUAAAAACAGAAAAUGCUGGAAAAA